UACGUAGGUGGCAAGCGUUGUCCGGAUUUAUUGGGUUUAAAGGGUGCGUAGGCGGCCCUGUAAGUCAGUGCUGAAAUAUCCCGGCUUAACCGGGAGGGUGGCAUUGAUACUGCGGGGCUAGAGUACAGAUGAGGUAGGCGGAAUUGACGGUGUAGCGGUGAAAUGCUUAGAUAUCGUCAAGAACACCUAUAGCGAAGGCAGCUUACUACACAGUCAUUGACACUGAGGCACGAAAAGCGUGGGGAGUCAAACAGG
rnacentral:rRNA from 1 species